GACGAACGCUGGCGGCGUGCCUAACACAUGCAAGUCGAACGGUAAGGCCCUUCGGGGUACACGAGUGGCGAACGGGUGAGUAACACGUGGGUGAUCUGCCCUGCACUUCGGGAUAAGCCUGGGAAACUGGGUCUAAUACCGGAUAGGACUCCGGACUGCAUGGUCUGGGGUGGAAAGCUUUUGCGGUGUGGGAUGGGCCCGCGGCCUAUCAGCUUGUUGGUGGGGUGAUGGCCUACCAAGGCGACGACGGGUAGCCGGCCUGAGAGGGUGACCGGCCACGCUGGGACUGAGAUACGGCCCAGACUCCUACGGGAGGCAGCAGUGGGGAAUAGUGCACAAUGGGCGCAAGCCUGAUGCAGCGACGCCGCGUGAGGGAUGACGGCCUUCGGGUUGUAAACCUCUUUCAGCACAGACGAAGCGCAAGUGACGGUAUGUGCAGAAGAAGGACCGGCCAACUACGUGCCAGCCGCCGCAGUAA
rnacentral:rRNA from 1 species